rnacentral:rRNA from 1 species
GUUAGGAAUAUUGGACAAUGGGCGCAAGCCUGAUCCAGCCAUGCCGCGUGAGUGAUGAAGGCCUUCGGGUUGUAAAGCUCUUUAGUCCACGAAUAUAAUGACUGUAGUGGAAGAAUAAGCCCCGGCUAACUUCGUGCCAGCAGCCGCGGUAAUACGAAGGGGGCGAGCGUUAUUCGGAAUCACUGGGCGUAAAGCGUGCGUAGGCUGUGUUGUAAGUCAGAAGUGAAAGCCCAGGGCUUAACCCUGGAAUUGCUUUUGAAACUACAAGACUCGAAUUCGGGAGAGGAUAGCGGAAUUGUCAGUGUAGCAGUGAAAUGCGUAGAUAUUGACAGGAACACCAGUGGCGCAAGCGGCUAUCUGGACCGAGAUUGACGCUGAGGCACGAAAGCGUGGGGAGCAAACAGGAUUAGAUACCCCGGUAGUCC